UACCAACUCUGACACUUUAGCCCAGACCCCAAAAGGAGAUGAGUAACGUCCCGCUCUCACUAUGUGCACCUUGAUAGUCCAGGGUCUCAGGCAUGGACGUCGUUCCUCCAGUUGUAAAUGUAAUUAUUGUGAACAUCUCUCAUGCAAAACUGUCAGGGAAUGAGAAAGAAAAAGAAAAAAAUGGGUUAAUACAUGCCUACAAAACAUCUGGAAGAGGAUCUGGGAGGGUCCAAGCAACAAACCACGCGGCGUUCUCUGGAGGCUGAGCUGGGACGAGUAGGCGGAAACAGCCUCAGAAACCUAGACCACCACCAAAUGGAUCUGCUGGCACGUAGACCUCAGAAAAAAGGAAACUGAGGACUGAACUCUGACCGCUAUUUCUUGUUCUACAUUUUUUCUUGAAGGACCUGAAGGAAGUCACGCCCAUGGGCCAGACCUAACGUUCUUUUCUGCUAACUCCUAGUUUUUAAAUAGAGCUUCCCUUCCUUAACCAAUCGCAAAUCAGAAAAUUUUUGAAUUCCCCUGUAACCUGUAAGCCCCUACUUCAAGAUAUCCUGUGUGUUAAGGUCAAACCAAUAGGUAGCCUCCAUGUGUCGACUUAUGACUUUGCGUGUAACCUCUGCCUGCCUGCCUUUAGAAAGAAACCGUUGCUUGCAAGCCUUUGGGAAGGUCAGGUGAGCUGCCUGAUUCUCCUUGCUGGGUGCCCUGCAAAUAAACACCCUGUUUCC